AAAGCGUGCGCAGGCGGUUUUGUAAGACUGUCGUGAAAUCCCCGGGCUUAACCUGGGAAUGGCGAUGGUGACUGCAAGGCUAGAGUUUGGCAGAGGGGGGUAGAAUUCCACGUGUAGCAGUGAAAUGCGUAGAUAUGUGGAGGAACACCGAUGGCGAAGGCAGCCCCCUGGGUCAAAACUGACGCUCAUGCACGAAAGCGUGGGGAGCAAACAGGAUUAGAUACCCUGGU
rnacentral:rRNA from 1 species